rnacentral:lncRNA from 1 species
UAAAAGAGCUGGAAACUGUUGGAUAAAGCUGUGUUCUCAGCCUCCACACAGAGACCUUCUCCUCUUGUAAGGCCCUAGAGCUUUAGGCUCACCUCAAGCUUUGGCUCUCAUCUUGACUGAAGAGGUACCUUGGGACACCUAACCUUUGAGGGGACUUCUGCAGAACCUGGGUCA